UGCCGAAACGGAACAAAAUAUCUAAGAUGCCAAUCCGCAUAUGCGUGACAUGCAUGUAAGUUCCAAUAGUAGUCAUAGUGUGAAAGAGCAACGAGCGAGAUGGAUCAAGUUAGGGGAACAUAAUGGUUGACAUAGACAAUGACCGAACACUCACCUCGAGGGUCGGACAUUAUUUAAUUCAUGUGGGACCUGUACACUUUGUGAAGGUCGAUCGCCCCGAGUGUCAAACAUUUUCGGGCAAAGUAGCAUUUUUCCAUUUGGAAUAUCUUUCCUUCCCCCCAGAACCACAAAACCCUAAAAUUACGCUAUCAGAUUUUUUUUUCCCCUUAGCAGGCAUCUUGUGAAUAUUCAGGGACCACGUGAACAGUCUAAAAGACAAGUACACCUCAACAUUUAUGUUGAUUUUUUCAGCUGGUGGAAUUUGUUACAGCCUUCUUUAUACAGAAUGGAAACCCAUCUCACCAGUAGGAUCUUUUAAUCAUACCAAAUUAAAUACUUUGCCUCGGUCCCUUAUCUUACGACUGUACCUCAGCCCACUUACAUGGUCUUUCGACCUAGCCUCGAUCUUUUUACAUGGUCUUAUAGAUUUUUAAACAAUCCCUUGCACCUGAAAAUUGCAUCCACAUUGGUUAGUAGAACCCCUCUUGCCGAAAUUAUUUGUUGAGUGUUGUCCCGCGUCCCUAUACUAGAAUAAAAUCUGAAUUAUCCUGACCAUUAAGCUCAAGCUUGAAUUUCACUAUUUCAGUGUGCUGGCUUCACUCGAGGAUUAAAUCGACAUUAAAUAAUUUCUACCGUUUGACAGCUUUGGACCACCUUUUUGUAUUGGGGGUGGGCACAAACAUUGAAGACCCCAGCACAGCUUUGUUUGGCAUCUUUUGCUGUCAAUGUGUCACCGAUUGAACAGCGCUCACUAUUACUUUGCAUUCGGUGGCCGUGUAUCACCAGAUAGCAGCUUAG
rnacentral:lncRNA from 1 species